CUCAGAUGGACUUUUGAGGGGGGAGGGAUGAGGCGCCCCUCAGUGGGCAGCGCCCCACCUAGGCACCUUGGUGGGAUCGAAUCCCUCCAGGCAACUUCUGAGUGAGGGUUAUGGCUCGCGUUUUAAAGCCAGCGCAGCACAGCCUCCCCUGGCAGGAGACCUUGCAGUUCAGCCUCAAGCCUCGCAGACAAUGCCAAGAGAAAGGGGUUAUUUUGGGAAUGGUUGCCCUGGUUACGCCAUCCCGCGGAGUCCUCUGCCCCAUCACAACCCCUCCGGGUCUUCUGGGCGCUGAAGGAAGCCUUUCAGACUUUUAAACACUUUGCCUUUACGAAAAUUCCGCCCCAUCUUUUCUUGGCUACUUUGUGACACUGAAUCCCAUUCACAGACGGAGAAACUGAGGAACCGAGCAAGUGAGCGAGGCGUAAACGUCCUUUCCAGGUCGGCCAGGGACCAGCCUGUCCGAUUCUCAGAAUCUCCAACCCUGUGACAAAUUUCGAUUUGAACAACACGUGCGAUUCCCGACCUAAAAACCGCAGCCCACCAUAAACAGUUAACAUUCCAAGCGAACCCCCAAAUCCCUUACCCUCAGCUUGUAGCUGGUCUCCUGUGUUUUACGACUUUAGUUUGGAUCUCCAAACUGCUGGGCAUUCAAAGGGUUAAAAGGGACCAGGAGGGGGCCUGCUGCGCGCGGCGGGGCCUCGAAUGGGUUAAAAAUAUAAACGCAUUAAUUCCCCCUGACUAUUUGGAUCAAAACGGGCAGCCAAGGGGCCAGGAGAGCUAGUGAGCACCCCCCCCCCCACCCCCGCCACUGAAUGCCUUUUUAAAAUUCUAGAACUUUUAAUUCCGACCAAAAAAAAAAAAAGUGUCCCAGUUCGAAAGUUCUCUUCACCUUUUCUUUUUUCAUUUCAUUUCUUUUUUUUUUUUUUUUUUUCUCGAUUUCUCCGCGGGCUGGGUUAUAAAACUCGCCCUCUCCUUUUGGGUUCGAGGAGCUGGGUUCCCCCCUCCGAGCAGCCCGCGGGGCGGGGGCCGAAGGGGCCCCGGGAGUUUUUCUCCGGGGCCGGGUUGGGACGCGGCUGGUGAGUCCCGGCUCCGGCCCCUGAAUUGGGGGGUCCGCGUCUGCCCCAAACGCCGCUUUCUUCCGUUUUCCAUGUCAUUUCCUGUACUAAUAAGAUGGUGGUCAAAGCAGGGGAGGAGAGCAGCAGCGAGUCGCCGCCGCCGCCGCGCCGAGGCUGGCGCUGAAACUUUGCCUCGCCGGGGACCAGCGCGCCCGCAGCGCGGCCGCUCCCGCCGCGGGGGCCGCCAGCCGGGGCCGCGCCGCCUCCGCCGAGCCGCCCGCCGGGCCGCCCGCGCCGCCCGGGCCCCGCGGCUGCCGCAGCAUUCCCGGGAAGAUCUCUUUCAGAGUUGAGAUUCUCCAGGGGGCCUGCAGGACACAUGAGAGGGGGCUGGUGAAUCGCGACACGGGUCGCCGGUCGUUAAUUCCUUUGGCAAAUACUGAGAAUACGCUAUGUGCUGGGCAAGGCUGAGGCCAGGAUAAGGCAAGCCAGGCACCCAGGGCGCCAGAUGCAAGGACAUGCUCAUCUUCAGGUGCCGUUCCUGCAAGUGCAUGAUCCUGAGGGUGGGUGCCUCCUUAAAGUUUAUGCCUUAGCACGUUGCUGGUCUUUCCCUAGCUCUUCCCUGGUGUCAGACACGGUGACGAGUGCUGGCAAUUCACUGGAGAGCAAAAGUGCCUGCCCGUGUGGAACUUACCAUCUGUUAGUGGGAAUGAGGUAUUAAUUAAAUAAUGCUGCUGGCAAAAGACUGUUCUGAGGGUGACAAGCUGGAGAGGGUAUUAAGUCGGUGAGGGGGCGACAGUGAGGGCUGAAGGAUGGGUAGGAGUUUUCCAGGUGUCCGGCAAGCGGAGGACCCAAGUUCACAGGGUGGAGGUGGCAUACAGGUGGGGCUGGCGGAGGACGGAAGGGCAGGAGCAGGAGAAAUGCAAAACGGUCCCAAGCAGUCUGUUUCUAAUAGAGGGCCAGACUCUGCAAAUGAUUGACUUAAACAACAACAACAACAACCCAACCCAAUAGAGGGAAUUCAAAGCCACCCCUUAAUGAGGUCAGUCAAUACCCCCCUUCCCCAUCAGCUUUCUUCAUGAGCAGAUACGCACGCAGGGACUGCGCCUGGCCCCCUCCAAACUCAUCUUUGUCCAUUUCAUACAGCAAUGUCUGGGACGGAAUCUAACACGGGCCACAUUUUCCAGGGGAACAAAUGGGCACACAGGGGAGUUGGAUAACCUGCUGUCUCAGUCUAUUCAGGCUGCCAUAACACAAUGCCAUAGACGGGGUGGCCUAAAGCACCAGACAUUUAUUUCUCGGGUUUGGAGGCUGAGAAGUCCAAAACCAAGGUGCAAGCCGAUCAGGUUCCUA
rnacentral:lncRNA from 1 species